CGGAGGUGGGAGCGGUGCUGUGCGGGGAGCGGGGGCAGCUCCACGGCGCUCUGCUGGCGCCUGGCCGCGGCCGCCCCGAGCCGUACCCUGGCAGGCUCCACCCGCUCGGUCGGCCGGGGCCAGAGCCGGCCGUGCCCACCUGGCCCCGGGGCGGCGCGGGAGGGGAGCGGGAGCCGUGCCGCCCGGUGCGGAGCAGGGACAGGCAAGGUGCCCUCCCAGGGGACAGGGGCUCCGGAGGGCUCCUGGCCGUGCCCUGGAGGGCGCUGCGUGGGCCCUGGCGCUGUGGGUGAAGGGGGACGGGGAGCCCUGUGCCCACCGGGGCGGGCAUCGUGCGGGGCUCAGCACAGCUCCCCGCGGCCGGCCCGCGCUGCUGCGGACACCGAAACCCGGGGGCUGCUUCGGACACCUUAACCUUCUGCGCAUCCUCCCCAGGCUGGAGAUGCGGGAGGCUCUGCCAGCCUCUCUCCGUGCCCCGCUGGCACCUCGAGCAGGGGCCGGUAAGCGGGCACCGAGCGCGGCAGCGUGGGGGGUGGGCGUGACGAACGCUGCCGUAGCUCGGCCAGCCGCAGAGCCGCAGAUGGAUGGAGGCAUUUUUCAAUUUAAGAAAUAUGAAUAAUUAGAAGAGAGUCAACUUGGCCUCCCCCGCCCCCCGCAGAAAUCCUCCUGGAUUGAUCGCAGCUGUGCGGUAACAAACCACCAGCGCCCAGCGGAGCUCGUUUUUCCCAGCCUAAGGACGGGAGCCGCCAGGCAGUUAGCUCAGUGUGAGCCUGCUCCCAGGCGCUCACCAAAUUAAAAAUAUAUAUAAUGCUUUCAGAGGAGUCCCUCCCGCACCCCCCCGCCCUCCCCCCUCCGUGCUCUGGCGAGAGGCAGGAGACAUCGCUCAUGACAAAAUUAACUCCACAAAUCUGCAUGUUAAAGACGAGAUAAACAGGAGGUGAUGAUGGGCUCCGUGGGCUCGUCUGGCUCUGCUUCGGGGAGGGCUCAGUUCGGCAGCUGUGAAGCCCCAGCGCUGGAGGAGCACAGCACCUUGAAGCUGUCUUACCCCCAGCUCAGGGCAGUUGGCCAGCGAGCCUUGGACUGCUGUGGGUGGGAAGGGAGCUGUCAAGCUCACCCAGCCCUGCGGCCAGCAGCUCUCAGCGAGCCAGACAUCCGCAGCCAGAGCAGGUCACAGAGAGCCCCGAGCAGCCUGGCACGUUCCAGGGCUGGGGCAUCAACAGCCCCAGGAGUGACAAGGACUCAUGCUGUGAGAUCAGGAGAUGCGGAGACACUGGCAUGGGCAGUGCCCUCAGGGCUGAGCAGAGGUGUGCCCGGCUGGGGUAGUGAGACCUGCAGCACCUCCCCCUGCUCCCUCAGGGACACCUCCGGCGCUCUGGAUGCCUUGGGACGGCCCAAACCAGACCUUCCCAACCCUAUUCCCCUAAAUACACUGGCACCCCUUGUCCUUGUAGCGCCAGCUGGCACUUCGGCCACCCCCGCCGCGGCUGCGGCCGGGAGCGAUGCUCAGCACCGGCCGGGAGGAGAAUCCCGGUUUGAUUUUAUUCAGGUUUCAAUCCCGAUGCCCCGAGAUCUAAUUCCGAAUAAAUAAUUGUGCCGAGCACCCCCGGCCCCCGGUGAUUAACGGAA